rnacentral:sRNA from 1 species
GGCAGCCCAAGCAGGAGCCGUGGGGCCGGGCGCCAGCACCCUCCGCGGCGUGCCAUGGGCCCGCGCCGCCGGAGCCGCAAGCCCGAGGCCCCGAGGAGGCGCAGCCCGAGCCCGACCCCGACCCCCGGCCCCUCCCGGCGGGGCCCCUCCUUAGGCGCUUCCUCCCAUCAACACAGUCGGCGGAGACAAGCUUGGCUAAAGGAGAUCCGAAAGCUUCAGAAGAGCACACACCUCUUGAUAAGGAAGCUCCCCUUCAGCCGCCUGGCAAGAGAAAUAUGUGUUAAAUUCACUCGUGGUGUGGACUUCAAUUGGCAAGCCCAGGCCCUAUUGGCCCUACAAGAGGCAGCAGAAGCAUUUCUAGUUCAUCUCUUUGAGGACGCCUAUCUCCUCACCUUACAUGCCGGCCGAGUUACUCUCUUCCCAAAGGAUGUGCAACUGGCCCGGAGGAUCCGGGGCCUUGAGGAGGGACUCGGCUGAGCUCCUGCGCCCAGUGUUUCUGUCAGUCUUUCCUGCUCAGCCAGGGGGGAUGAUACCGGGGACUCUCCAGAGCCAUGACUAGAUCCAACGGAUUCUGCGAUGCUGUCUCUGAACAGCUGGAGUGCAGUGGCACGAUCUCGGCUCACUGCAACCUCCAACUCCCAAGUUCAAGCGAUUCUCCUGCCUCAGCCUCUCGGACCCUGUCUCUGUUUUUUUUUUUAAUAAAUAAAUAAAAAUUCUGUGUAACUUCAUAAA